UUCUGAACACUCUAAAUUCUGAGGUCAGAAUGGUAUUCUGAGCUUAGAGAAGUCUGGCUGUAUGGCAACAGCUAUUGUCAUUGCUCCCAGUGCAACAUUUAUAGGAUAUGGAGGCUGGAUUAUCCAAGUUGAUGCUUUAAAAUGCCUGUGGAGGGCUGGGCGCGGUGGCUCACACCUGUAAUCCCAGCACUUUGGGAGGCCGAGGAACUAACACUGCCGAUUGAUCUUUAGAGAUAUUCUCAAUCAUGAAAAUUGGAACAUCUAUAUUGAAAUCACCAUGAAGAAGAUGUCCAUCUUCCCAUCCUGUCCUUCACCUCCUGUUGUUCUUCUUUAACUAUUUGCUAGUAAAUUGGCAUACCUUCUGCCCAGUGCUUUUUUUCUAUGUGUUUUAAUAGAGCUUUGUGAAAAAUCAGCUUUUGAACUCAGUCUCGCUCAUGUGUGAGAGCUUACAAACUGUAUAAGGAAAUGUCCAUCUAAUAAAAAGCACUUUGAAAAUCGG